rnacentral:rRNA from 1 species
AGCGCACACGGUGGAUGCCUUGGCGGUCAGAGGCGAUGAAGGACGUGGCAGCCUGCGAAAAGUAUCGGGGAGCUGGCAACAAGCUUUGAUCCGGUAAUGUCCGAAUGGGGAAACCCACCCGCUUGCGGGUAUCCUGCAGUGAAUACAUAGCUGCUGGAAGCGAACCUGGUGAACUGAAAUAUCUAAGUAACCAGAGGAAAAGAAAUCAACCGAGAUUCCGUAAGUAGCGACGAGCGAACGCGGACUAGCCCUUAAGCUGAUUUGGUUCUAGGAAAACGCUCUGGAAAGAGCGGCCAUAGAAGGUGAUAGCCCUGUAUCUGAAAGGGCCAUUUCAGUGAAGACGAGUAGGGCGGGGCACGUGAAACCCUGUCUGAACAUGGGGGGACCAUCCUCCAAGGCUAAAUACUACUGACCGACCGAUAGUGAACCAGUACCGUGAGGGAAAGGCGAAAAGAACCCCGGAGAGGGGAGUGAAAUAGAACCUGAAACCGUGUGCGUACAAGCAGUAGGAGCUCCGCAAGGAGUGACUGCGUACCUUUUGUAUAAUGGGUCAGCGACUUACUGUUCGUGGCAAGCUUAACCGUAUAGGGGAGGCGAAGGGAAACCGAGUCUGAUAAGGGCGCAUAGUCGCGGGCAGUAGACCCGAAACCGGGUGAUCUAGUCAUGCCCAGGGUGAAGGUGCGGUAACACGCACUGGAGGCCCGAACCCACUCCCGUUGCAAAGGUAGGGGAUGAGGUGUGAUUAGGAGUGAAAAGCUAAUCGAACCCGGAGAUAGCUGGUUCUCCUCGAAAGCUAUUUAGGUAGCGCCUCAUAUGUAUCCUCUCGGGGGUAGAGCACUGUUAUGGCUAGGGGGUCAUCGCGACUUACCAAACCAUUGCAAACUCCGAAUACCGAGACGGACUGUAUGGGAGACACACGGCGGGUGCUAACGUCCGUCGUGAAAAGGGAAACAACCCAGACCCACAGCUAAGGUCCCAAAUUUUGUGCUAAGUGGAAAACCAUGUGGAAAGGCACAGACAGCCAGGAGGUUGGCUUAGAAGCAGCCACCCUUUAAAGAAAGCGUAAUAGCUCACUGGUCGAGUCGGUCUGCGGGGAAGAUUUAACGGGGCUAAGCACAGAACCGAAGCUUGGGGUGCAUACUUUGUAUGCGCGGUAGAGGAGCGUUCCGUAAGCCGUUGAAGGUGGAUUGAGAAGUCUGCUGGAGGUAUCGGAAGUGCGAAUGCUGACAUGAGUAACGAUAAUGCGGGUGAAAAACCCGCACGCCGAAAGCCCAAGGUUUCCUUGCGCAACGUUAAUCGGCGCAGGGUGAGUCGGCCCCUAAGGCGAGGACGAAAGUCGUAGUCGAUGGGAAGCAGGUUAAUAUUCCUGCACCUCGCGUAAGUGCGAUGGAGGGACGGAGAAGGUUAGGUGUACCAGGCGUUGGUUGUCCUGGGGAAAGGCGGUAGGUUUGGAUCUUUGGCAAAUCCGGGAUCCUUUAAGACCGAGCACCGAGACGAGCCUUUAUGGCGAAGUCACUGAUACCACGCUUCCAGGAAAAGCUCCUAAGCUUCAGCUUACGCAGACCGUACCGUAAACCGACACAGGUGGGUAGGAUGAGAAUUCUCAGGCGCUUGAGAGAACUCGGGUGAAGGAACUAGGCAACAUGGCACCGUAACUUCGGGAGAAGGUGCACCCUUUUUGGUGGCUCGUGCGAGCUAUAGCUGAAGAGGGUCGCAGUAACCAGGCCGCUGCGACUGUUUAUCAAAAACACAGCACUCUGCAAACACGAAAGUGGACGUAUAGGGUGUGACGCCUGCCCGGUGCUGGAAGGUUAAUUGAUGGGGUCAGCCGCAAGGCGAAGCUCUUGAUCGAAGCCCCAGUAAACGGCGGCCGUAACUAUAACGGUCCUAAGGUAGCGAAAUUCCUUGUCGGGUAAGUUCCGACCUGCACGAAUGGCGUAACGACAGCGGCGCUGUCUCCACCCGAGACUCAGUGAAAUUGAAAUCGCUGUGAAGAUGCAGCGUUCCCGUGGCAAGACGGAAAGACCCCGUGAACCUUUACUAUAGCUUUACACUGAACGUUGAGUUCGUCUGUGUAGGAUAGGUGGGAGGCUAUGAAACCAUGGCGCUAGCUGUGGCGGAGCCAUCCUUGAAAUACCACCCUGUCGUGCUUGACGUUCUAACCUGGGCCCAUUAUCUGGGUCGGGGACCGUGUAUGGUGGGUAGUUUGACUGGGGCGGUCUCCUCCUAAAGAGUAACGGAGGAGCUCGAAGGUACGCUCAGCGCGGUCGGACAUCGCGCACUGUGUGCAAAGGCAUAAGCGUGCUUGACUGCAAGAUCGACGGAUCAAGCAGGUAGGAAACUAGGACUUAGUGAUCCGGUGGUUCUGUAUGGAAGGGCCAUCGCUCAACGGAUAAAAGGUACUCCGGGGAUAACAGGCUGAUACCGCCCAAGAGUUCAUAUCGACGGCGGUGUUUGGCACCUCGAUGUCGGCUCAUCACAUCCUGGGGCUGUAGUCGGUCCCAAGGGUAUGGCUGUUCGCCAUUUAAAGUGGUACGCGAGCUGGGUUCAGAACGUCGUGAGACAGUUCGGUCCCUAUCUGCCAUGGGCGUUGGAGAUUUGAGAGGGGCUGCUCCUAGUACGAGAGGACCGGAGUGGACGAACCUCUGGUGUUCCGGUUGUCACGCCAGUGGCAUUGCCGGGUAGCUAUGUUCGGAAGCGAUAACCGCUGAAAGCAUCUAAGCGGGAAGCGCGCCUCAAGAUGAGAUCUCCCGGGGCACAAGCCCCCUGAAGGAACCAUGUAGACUACGUGGUUGA